GACGAACGCUGGCGGCGUGCCUAAUACAUGCAAGUCGAGCGCUGAAGGCUGGUUCUCGUACUAACUGGGUGAGCAGCGAACGGGUGAGUAACGCGUGGGGAACCUGCCUUUGAGCGGGGGAUAACAUUUAGAAACGAAUGCUAAUACCGCAUAAAACCUUUACACACAAGGUUUAAGUUUGAAAGAUGCAAUUGCAUUACUCUAACAUGAUCCCGCGUUGUAUUGGCUAGUUGGUGGGGUAAAGGCUCUCCAAGGCGAUGAUACAUAGCCGAACGGAGAGGGUGGUCGGCCGCAUUGGGAGUUGGACAGGGCCCAAACUCCUACGGGAGGGAGCAGUAGGGUAUCGGCGGCAAUGGAGGGAAAUCUUGCCGAACGAGUGCGCGUGAGUGGAAGAGGGUUUCGGAUCGGAAAAAUCUGUUGGUGGAGGAAAACCGUGGUGGGAGUUGAAGGCGCAUCAAGUGACGGUAGCUAGCCAGAAAGCAACGGCUAACUACGUG
rnacentral:rRNA from 1 species